rnacentral:rRNA from 1 species
AACGAACGCUGGCGGCAGGCUUAACACAUGCAAGUCGAACGCAUCCUUCGGGGUGAGUGGCAGACGGGUGAGUAACGCGUGGGAACGUGCCCUUCAGUUCGGGAUAACCCAGGGAAACUUGGGCUAAUACCGGAUACGUGCGAGAGCAGAAAGAUUUAUCGCUGAAGGAUCGGCCCGCGUCUGAUUAGCUAGUUGGUGGGGUAAUGGCCCACCAAGGCGACGAUCAGUAGCUGGUCUGAGAGGAUGAUCAGCCACAUUGGGACCGAGACACGGCCCAAACUCCUAUGGGAGGCAGCAGUGGGGAAUAUUGGACAAUGGGCGCAAGCCUGAUCCAGCCAUGCCGCGUGAGUGAUGAAGGCCUUAGGGUUGUAAAGCUCUUUCGUCCGGGACGAUAAUGACGGUACCGGAAGAAGAAGCCCCGGCUAACUUCGUGCCAGCAGCCGCCGUAA